UACGGAGGGUGCAAGCGUUAAUCGGAAUUACUGGGCGUAAAGCGUGCGCAGGCGGUUUGUUGAGUCUGCUGUGAAAUCCCCGAGCUCAACUUGGGAAUUGCAGUGGAUACUGGCAAGCUGGAGUACGGUAGAGGAAGGUGGAAUUCCCGGUGUAGCAGUGAAAUGCGUAGAGAUCGGGAGGAACACCAGUGGCGAAGGCGGCCUUCUGGACCAGUACUGACGCUCAUGCACGAAAGCGUGGGGAGCAAACAGG
rnacentral:rRNA from 1 species